GGCUGCAGAAAUCUCCUAUUUCCUUUCAUUUUUCGGCUAUGCAGCUGCAUUUCUAAGCCAUGACUACAUUGCUAAAUGAAUCAUUGAUUUGGAAAAUCUGAAGUGACCUUCAACUUGUUCUCAAGCUCUUCCUCAAGAGAAGAGAGGGAAAAUCAACCAAAUAUCGAAGAAGUUAUUUUUCUAAAGGAAUUAUCCUAAGGAAGGCAUUCUCUGAGAAGCUCAAACUGUCUCAAACUGCUGUGACCUCGCACGCUAAUACCCCCAUUGGUACAACUCACCAUUUUAUUAAAAGCAAUACAAUUCUUGCAUUCAUUUGAUCUGAUCUGGAUUUUUACUUUUGCUUUGUCCAUACCAGCAGAGGUAAAACAUCCAGAGGAAAGAAAGAGAGAAGAUACCACACCCUGG
rnacentral:lncRNA from 1 species